UCUUGGUGGCGGACGGGUGAGUAACGCGUGGGUAACCUGCCUUAUACAGGGGGAUAACACUUAGAAAUAGGUGCUAAUACCGCAUAAGCGCACGGGGCUGCAUGGCCCAGUGUGAAAAACUCCGGUGGUAUAAGAUGGACCCGCGUCUGAUUAGCUUGUUGGCGGGGUAACGGCCCACCAAGGCGACGAUCAGUAGCCGGCCUGAGAGGGUGGACGGCCACAUUGGGACUGAGACACGGCCCAAACUCCUACGGAAGGCAGCAG
rnacentral:rRNA from 1 species